GACGAACGCUGGCGGCGUGCUUAACACAUGCAAGUCGAGCGGAAAGGCUCCUUCGGGGGUACUCGAGCGGCGAACGGGUGAGUAACACGUGAGUAAUCUGCCCCUGGCUUUGGGAUAGCCACCGGAAACGGUGAUUAAUACCGGAUAUGACCACUACACGCAUGUGUUGGUGGUGGAAAGUUUUUCGGCCAGGGAUGUGCUCGCGGCCUAUCAGCUUGAUGGUGAGGUAAUGGCUCACCAUGGCUUCGACGGGUAGCCGGCCUGAGAGGGUGACCGGUCACACUGGGACUGGGACACGGCCCAGACUCCUACGGGAGGCAGCAGUGGGGAAUAUUGGACAAUGGGCGGAAGCCUGAUCCAGCAACGCCGCGUGAGGGAUGACGGCCUUCGGGUUGUAAACCUCUUUCAGUACCGACGAAGCGCAAGUGACGGUAGGUACAGAAGAAGCACCGGCCAACUACGUGCCAGCCGCCGCCGUAACAC
rnacentral:rRNA from 1 species